rnacentral:rRNA from 1 species
AUACGGAGGGUGCAAGCGUUGUUCGGAAUUACUGGGCGUAAAGCGUGCGUAGGCGGUCCAGCAAGUUGGGAGUGAAAGCCCGAGGCUCAACCUCGGAAUUGCUUCCAAAACUGCUGAACUAGAGUAUGGUAGAGGAGAGUGGAAUUCUUAGUGUAGGGGUGAAAUCCGUAGAUAUUAAGAGGAACACCAGAGGCGAAGGCGACUCUCUGGGCCAUUACUGACGCUAAGGCACGAAAGCGUGGGGAGCGAACGGGAUUAGAAACCCCAGUAGUCC